UCGUACCACCAUCUACAGUUACCCUGACUGUAGUACUAAAGUCGUACCACCAUCUACAGUUACUCUGACUGUAGUACUAAAGUCGUACCACCAUCUACAGUUACCCUGACUGUAGUACUAAAGUCGUACCACCAUCAACAGUUACUGUGACUGUAGUACUAAAGUCGUACCACCAUCUACAGUUACCCUGACUGUAGUACUGAAGUCGUACCACCAUCAACAGUUACCCUGACUGUAGUACUAAAGUCGUACCACCAUCAACAGUUACCCUGACUGUAGUACUAAAGUCGUACCAGUUACCCUGACUGUAGUACUAAAGUGGUACCACCAUCUACAGUUACUGUGACUGUAGUACUAAAGUCGUACCACCAUCUACAGUUACCCUGACUGUAGUACUAAAGUCGUACCACCAUCUACAGUUACUCUGACUGUAGUACUAAAGUCGUACCACCAUCAACAGUUACCCUGACUGUAGUACUAAAGUCGUACCACCAUCAACAGUUACUCUGACUGUAGUACUAAAGUCGUACCACCAUCAACAGUUACUCUGAUUGUAGUACUAAAGUGGUACCACCAUCUACAGUUACUCUGACUGUAGUACUAAAGUCGUACCACCAUCAACAGUUACCCUGACUGUACUACUAAAGUCGUACCACCAUCAACAGUUACCCUGACUGUAGUACUAAAGUGGUACCACCAUCAACAGUUACUCUGACUGUAGUACUAAAGUCGUACCACCAUCUACAGUUACUCUGACUGUAGUACUAAAGUCGUACCACCAUCAACAGUUACCCUGACUGUAGUACUAAAGUCGUACCACCAUCAACAGUUACCCUGACUGUAGUACUAAAGUCGUACCACCAUCAACAGUUACUCUGACUGUAGUACUAAAGUCGUACCACCAUCUACAGUUACUCUGACUGUAGUACUAAAGUCGUACCACCAUCUACAGUUACUCUGACUGUAGUACUAAAGUCGUACCACCAUCUACAGUAACACUGAUUGUAGGCCUAGUACUGAAGUAAAUGCUUACAAAACAUCAUUCUAGUGCAGUGUCUUUAAUUGAUCUUUCUAUGCAAGUAAAUCAAUCAUUGCCAUUAGUGAUCGAUGUCCCCAAUGAUGUUUGUGUGGCAGUCCACCAUCAAUCCAAUGUCAUCAUACAACCAGAACACAUCAGGAAUUGUAGGAAGACAAGGAGUAUUCCUGAACGAAGACGCUGCUCGAUUUGUUCUUAGAUGAUGGAAUCAGGUAAUUUACUUGAUUGGACAGAAUCUACACUUGUGACUUAACAGGGUAACAAGCCGUGCAAGUUUUGUCAAUUGAGUAAUACAUCAAGUCCACCAAGAAUAAAUGGAGCAGGUCUUGAAGGCUCAAAUAUGUUCGAUUGUGUCAUCUUAAUAUUGUUGCUAAGCAACAGGGAUAAAUAUACCAACACUAUUGCAAUACUGAAGAUAUACGAAGCUGGACAAGCAACAAAACUAGAAAUGGGGAAAAUCAACAGAACUUCAAAUAAAUUAAGGCUAAUAAAAAUGUAAUAAUUGAAAGCUAGAUCCAAGUUUUGAAAAUUUUCCUUAGAUCUGGUGUUGAACCCCAGGUAUCAAUAUACAAAUAUUUCAAGUCCACAAAUUUAUAGUAACAUAAAUGACAAUUCCCUACAGAGCUCAACAUAAGCCUGUUGAUCAAGUACCAGGUAAAAACUAGUAUAGACCCUUAUCUUUUAGCUUUAGGUAUGGUACUGUGAACAUCAUAUUUUUACAUUGGAACCAUAUUAUUUCCAAAAUAUCAAGCUGUUAAGGAUUGUGUUGUGACCAAGCAUCCUCUCAUCACAUGACUUCAAAAUGGUGAUCUCCGCCCAUGUCACAUGUUUAAUCGUCAAGGUUGACAUAUAUAUGACAGGUGUGGUAUACGUAGUCUUCAAAGUGGACAUAUAUAUGACAGCAUUAUAUGAACAUUACUGAAAGAUUUCCACAUAAGAAUGCCUGUUGUUUUCAUAGUUACAAAUAUACCAAACAAGUUUUGUUUCCAUUACAACAUAAGAUUUCUGAUUCUUUUGUUCACUGAUUAUGUUGGAAUCACAGGUUCAAAGAAGGAAGAGAUACCCCACUCUAGGAGGAAGUCGGUACUAACUAAAAAAUAGUUUAUUUACUUCAUAUUCUGAAGUGUAUCAGCCCAUAUGUUCCAUACAUUUCCUGGUGUAUUAAAGUAUAGUUAUUGUAUGAAGCCAAACAGAGUUGCUCCCCUUGUUUUAUCUACAAAAAUCUCUAAGGGAUGGAAUGAACAGCUGAAUUUGUACAAAAAUAUCUGCAAAUGUGUACCUGUAUGAUUUAUAAUAAAUCUAUAAUUUAAUUUGGUAUUGAUUCUGUCACCAUACCUACAGUACACAAAACAGUUACACCAGGUAAUUCUUGCAUUUUCAAUGAGUGUUAACCUUUUACUAUACAAAUCUGCCACUUACCAAUACUGCCUCUGAUGGUAGUUAUACAUUUAAGUAGCCUGUAAACAGUAGGAUUGCUAACCUAAUCUGUUUAAGAAAACAUGCCACAAAUUUGAGCAGUAACAAUGAUAACAGUACAUUACUAAAGCCUGUAUUCUUUUUGUGUUUAUGAACUUAAAGGGUCACAUCAGUACAAAUCAGUGUGUAGAAAAAAUACCAGAAAAACUAAACUUUUGAGUAUGUUUGAUGCUUUCAUAGUCUAUAUGGUGAUGAAGGUGUGUAUUACAACUAGAGAUUAAUAUAAGGCUACAGAGUUUAACUUUUACCCUGACAGUCAAUGUGAUAGGAAUGGCGAGAAUGACAGGACCAUGAGAUCAUCUAUCAUUUUUUAUAACAGUUCAUAUUUAUACCUUUUCGUCAUUCAUUGAUGGACACCUUCAAGACUAGUCAACGUAUCAAUGCAUUCCAAUAUUCUCAUCAAAACUGUCUCACCCAAUUUUUAAUUUCAAAAUUUCACACUCAACAUUAAUGGUACAGCUAGCUAGAUGGACCCAUUUAAGGUUUAUCAUGAUGCUCAAUAGAUUUCAAUAUUACAAUCUUCCUACAGAUUAUAUAAAACAAUGCUGUCUAUAUUGUGCAUUUUGUAUAUAUAAUGGUGUAGCUAUUAUGGUGUAUGUUAUCUUGUUAAUAUCAUCUAGGACAUAGGUUUUAAUCACAGUCAAAAAAUCAUACGAUGAAAUCAAAACAAUUCCUUUAGAUUUUUCUGUUGAACUAUAAAAUAUACAAAUCAAAACACAUGUAGAUGCUUUUUAAACAAUUCAUUGGUAAUUGUAACUGAUCACAAAGCUUACUGAUAUCUGUGUAACUGACUAAUAAAUGAUGCUACAAACCAAUGAAUGGGGAAACAUAAAACAAAUCGUCAUAAAAAUCAACAGAUUUAAUGCCAAUCACAAUUAUAAGGCAUAAAACCAUCUUGGCAAACAAAAAUCAGACACAAGCACUGGUUGUCACGGUUACAAUGAUGUCAUCUCUCUACUAUCACAAUUGUACUACAUAUGAAAGAGCUUGAAUCUGGAGUAAAUAUAUACAGACUGACAUAACUAUACAACUAUUACAAACGCCCUAUUGUGUACCAAAUGCAAGUGUUACCAAUCAGUGCCAGUCAGUGUUUAACAAUAGCACUGUAGCAGUAACUCAUAUACCGGUAAUUGUUCAAGUGAGGAAAAGACAAAUAUCAUUUAAAACUACCGUAAUUAAUAUAUAGCAAGAAUAUGCUGUUGAUCGAAUCAGAACAAAAAAUAAAUAUUUGAAAUCGUUAUUCAAUCAAUGUUAAUCAAAUAUUCUGGUACAUGCAUCAUAUUUUGUUUCAUCUCUUUCACAUAAUACUGAGACUUGACACAUUAAAAAUCAAAAGAGGAGACAAUAUAGAACAAGACAUAGAAAAAAACACAGGUAUCUCGACCACAAAAUACAGGUAUCUGAGACACAAGAUACAGGUAUCAGUAUCACACAAAAUACAGGUAUCUGAGACACAAGAUACAGGUAUCAGUAUCACAAAAUACAGGUGUCCACACAGGUAUCUCGACCACAAAAUACAGGUACCUGGGACACGAGAUACAGGUAUCAGUAUCACAAAAUACAGGUAUCUGAGACACAAGAUACAGGUAUCAGUAUCACAAAAUACAGGUAUCUGAGACACAAGAUACAGGUAUCAGUAUCACAAAAUAAUGGUACCUGGGACACAAGAUACAGGUAUCAGUAUCACAAAAUACAGGUAUCAGUAUCACAAAGUACAGGUAUCAGUAUCACAAAAUACAGGUACAUGUACCUGGGACACGAGAUACAGGUAUCAUUAACACAAAAUUCAGGUACCUGGGACACAAGACACAUGUAUCAGUAUCGCAAAAUACAGGUACCAGUAUCACAAAAUACAGGUACAUGUACCUGGGACACAAAAUACAGGUACCUGGGACAUGAGAUACAUGUACAUGAACACAAACUACAGGUAUUUGGGAAACAAAAUACAGGUACAUGUAUCAGUAACACAAAAUACAGGUAUCUGAGAUGCUAGAAACAGGUAUCGAUAACACAAAAUACAGGUAUCUGAAACACAAAAUACAGGUAUCUGGAAUACAUGAUACUGGAAUUUGGAAUUUGAGAUACAGGUACAUUGGAAUACAGAUGACUGACUCUUCAAUAUUAUCACCAGUCCAAAUUAUAGAAUCAUAAUCAUAAUUAACAAAUCUAAAGAUUACGUCGUUGAAUUCUAGCAUAUUUGAAAAUUGCAAUGAAUUUAGGAACUUUAAUUUGAUAAAAUAAUACACAUGUCAGCAAGGCCCUCCACUAUCAUUACCACCCAAACUAGUGUUGGAAACUUUACCAAGACUGAACACUAUCCAUCUGGUAUGUUAAGUCUUAGUGUAAACAGAUGAUCGGGUACAUAAUGGCUUUACAAGUCUUGUGAAUACAGAAAAGAUUAUUUUCAGAAAAUCAAAAGAAGGAUGAACAUAUGGAUGUUGAUACAAAAUUUCAAGCUAUUGCACGAUUGGUUAAUUCUGUUUUGUUUGUGAGUGUAAAUAUCUAAAUAGAAUAAUUACCAUAAAAAUCUGGUCUAAUCAAAGCCUGCCAAAGAGUAAAGUAAGUUUUAAAAACAUUACACAGACCUCGUGGGAGUUUCUACUUCUAUCACAGUAUUUCAGCUUGAACAAAUUAAAACAGAACUUUGGUUGGUAAAUAUAAUUUUAUCUUAGCACUUUACAACAAUGUACCUUUAAACAUCUGUUGGUUCAAACACAGAAUGACAGCACUUACUGAACAAGUAUGUACGAACAUAUCUCUUCAUCGUAGAAUUAACUUCUUAUCACAUUAAAUUAUUACAGGACUUGUGUGUUAAGUGUUACAAUGACAUUUUCUUCCUUUACAGCCAAUCCUUGUAAAAAGGAAGCUUUAAACAUGACCGACACCUGGUGUGGCUCAAUCACAGGGUACAUACUAAUCUGGUCACACCAAAUCCAAAGCCAUUCAAAGUCCUAAUUUAAUUUUUUAGGGAACUUUUCAUGCAAAAUAAAAUACAUUUUACAACUAUUUUUGAAAAUCCAAUGGAUUCCAUUUUUCAUGCAUGAUUUCAAUGUUUGACAAUUUUACUGUGGACUAUUAAUUAGAGAAACAAAAUGCAAUUUACUUUCUAUCUGGUUGUGCACCUACUCAACAAAUAAUAAUUCUUAAAAAAAUUUGAUUGAAAGUAUAUUUUUCAAUAUUCACAUCUCUGCAUAAUUAAAUAUAUAA